AUUGAACGCUGGCGGCAUGCCUUACACAUGCAAGUCGAACGGCAGCACGGGGCAACCUGGUGGCGAGUGGCGAACGGGUGAGUAAUGCAUCGGAACGUGCCAUUGAGUGGGGGGAUAACGUAGCGAAAGUUGCGCUAAUACCGCAUAUUCUGUGAGCAGGAAAGCAGGGGACCGCAAGGCCUUGCGCUCUUUGAGCGGCCGAUGUCAGAUUAGCUAGUUGGUGAGGUAACGGCUUACCAAGGCGACGAUCUGUAGCGGGUCUGAGAGGAUGAUCCGCCACACUGGAACUGAGACACGGUCCAGACUCCUACGGGAGGCAGCAGUGGGGAAUUUUGGACAAUGGGCGCAAGCCUGAUCCAGCCAUGCGCGUGAGUGAA
rnacentral:rRNA from 1 species